UGGUACCACAAGGGAGGCUAGAUCUUCUUGUCUUGUUUUUGGAUUUUUUGGUUUCUUUUUUGAAUUGAGAUCAUGGGCAAGAAAAAACAUGCAAGAAUUUUCUGGGUACCUUGGUGUUUUAGGUAUCUUCUAAAAUUUGUUUGAUCUCCAUACUCUUAUUUGUUUCUUGGUGCUUUAGGAAGGUAUCUGAACGAAUUAUUAAAUUUCUAGCAAUGUAGAAUUAUGAGUUGAUGUACACAAUAUUUACAGACAAGGUACUAAGUUUAAGAAGGUACUUAAUUAGUACUUCUGGUUGUACUCGUAGUGUAUAUGAGUAUUGCCGGGUACUUUAAUUGAUGAGGUACUAAGAGGUUGAGAAGGUACUUUGUAUUUUUAAU
rnacentral:lncRNA from 1 species